UAAUUUUUAUCUUACUAAAAUAAUUAGGGAAUUGUUUUUAUUAAUAAAAUCAUUUUUAUUAAAAGAGGUUUUUGUAUAGGUUAUAGAUAAAAUUAUAAGUGUGGUAGAAUAGUAGUAUUGUGAAAGAUUGAUUGAAAUAUAAUGAAAAUAUAUUUAUGUGAAAGUAAAUUUUAUUUAUUGUACCUUGUGUAUCAGGGUUUAUUAAAAAAUUUUUAUUUAUUUAAAUAUCCCGAUUUAAAGAGAGCUAAUUUAUUAUGUUAGUUAAUGUGGAAUAAUUAUUAAUAAUAAUAAAUUAGGUAUGAAACGUUAUUCGUUCUUUAAGAUAUCUGGUUUUCUAAGAAAUGAAUUUAAUUCAGAUACUAAAGGGUGUUUAUUUAAUUGUGAAAAAUUAAUCAUGAUUUAGUAUUAAUAUUUUGGGGGAUAAGCUUCGGAGUAUUAUUUAUAAAUAAGAUUGUUUAAUGUAAAUUUUGUAGGCUUAGAAUUAGCCAUCGAUUAAAGGAUGUUAUAAUUUAAUUUAUUUUGAAUAUAAUUUUUAUGGGUUUUAAAUGGUUCAUUAGAAUGUUAUUUUGAUUUUUAAAAAAUUAGUAAUAAUGAUAAAAUUAGUAUAAAAAAUUGUUGAUUAUUUUAAUAUAAUGAAAGGUUAUAUUAAGGAAUUAGGCAAAUAAGUGCUCGCCUGUUUAACAAAAACAUGUCUUCUUGACAAUAAUUUGAAGUCUGACCUGCCCGCUGAACAUAUAGUUUGAAGGGCCGCGGUAUUUUGACCGUGCAAAGGUAGCAUAAUCAUUAGUCUUUUAAUUGGAGGCUAGUAUGAAUGGUUGGACGAGGUACUGACUGUCUCAGUAUAAAUGAAAUUAGAAUUUAACUUUUAAGUCAAAAGGCUUAAAUGUCAUUAGAGGACGAGAAGACCCUAUAGAGCUUUAUAUUUAAAUAUUAUUAUUUGUUUAGGAGAUUUAUUAUAAUAAUUGAAUUAAAUAUUUUGUUGGGGCGACGAGAAGAUAUAACAAACUCUUUUUAGUUUAAUUACAUUGAUUUAUGAAUUGUUGAUCCAUUAUUAGUGAUUAUAAGACUAAGUUACCUUAGGGAUAACAGCGUAAUCUUUUUUGAGAGUUCUUAUCGACAAAAAGGGUUGCGACCUCGAUGUUGGAUUAAGGGUAAUUUUGGGUGUAGAUGUUCAAAAUUUAGGUCUGUUCGACCUUUGAAUCCUUACAUGAUCUGAGUUCAGACCGGUGUAAGCCAGGUCGGUUUCUAUCCUUAAUAAAAUAUUAAUGUUUUAGUACGAAAGGACCAAUCAUUAGGAAUACAAUUCUUAUAUGUUGAUUUAUAUUAACGAAUU
rnacentral:rRNA from 1 species